UUAUAAUAGGUAUGUUCAUUAGGAAAUAAAUCCACAUGAAAUUUAGAGAAAAAAGAAAUUAUAGUUUGUCUUCUCUUGGCCAAUCUCUUAACCCUUUAGUGGCAAGGAAAACUGUUUGGGAUACUUAAAAUUGCUACUUUGAAUGGUGCAGGAAACUCAUAAUUGGCCAUUCUCUUAACCCUUUAGCGGCGAGGAACACCGUUUGGGAUACUUAAAAUUGCUACUUUGAAUGGCGCAGGAAACUCAUAAUUCAAUCUGAUUGGGUCCACCAAACCACUACUGAUUAGACACACACCUCCUUUCUCAAAUGUGAUCAAUGAAAGUGCAGUAGUCAUCCCGGGCCUUGCUUGGCAAGACUCUCAGUGGACCAGUGUAUCACCAGACAUGAAAAGAGUGAAAUGUCACCAAAAAAGUUUUCACUCUUCCCAACACCACACCGGUACUCAUGGAGAUUGGUUGUGAAACAUUUUUGGGGCGUUCUUCAUCGAGGACUAAGAGCAAAGUGUUUCAGUGGAUCGCUUCCAACAAUCCUUAGGACAGUGACCUUGAAGUGGAAGAAAAUCUGCUUGUGGAUGAUGAUUUAAAAGGAAAGAUAAAGCAGACAACACAGAUGAUGAAGAAGGUGAUGAAGAAGAGGACAGCAGACCAUGUGCGAAGAAAGCCAAAACUCAAGCAUGGGUCAAGGAACAAGAGAUCAGUGUGCUGCCCCUGCUACACUAUGAGCACCCUAGCCUGCCAUGAUGCUGACCCCUAUAGAGUACUUCAAUCUGUACAAAACACUGAUGAGGGCCAGGAGGUACUACAUGAGCCUGUUUGGCUAUGUUGUGGACAUAAUCAUGUGCAAUGUUUGGCUGCUAUACAAAUGGGACUUUAAAGCCCUUGAAACCACAAGCAUGCCUCUCAAGGACUUCAGGCUGGAGGUGUCUGAAUCCCUGAGGUGUGACAGUGCCUCAAGACACUAAAGUGAACAGGGCAUCCUUGCAGAGGGCUCCUGUGCCUCUGCCAAGGCAUGGUCAGAGGGCUGAAAUACCCAAUGUAUCUAAGCAACAGGAUGCCACCACUCUGCACAUGUCAGUCCAUGUGCCCAUGAGGCAGAUGUGCAAGCACUGCUCCUGCAAGGGUAACAUCCAUCAGUCAUGUUGUGUGUGUGACACCUGCAAGGUUGCCCUCUGCCUCACCGAGCAGAAAAACUGCUUUGAUGCUUUCCAUAAGAACCUCUAGUAUAUGCAUAUGUAUACCUAUGUACCUUUGUAUGUGCAUUAUCUUAUUGUAUUUGUCAUUUAUUUUUGUGUAGAAAUUGUAAAAAAAGAACUUAAUGUCAAUUACAUUAAAACUUGUUAUAAAAGUUAAAUUUUCAGGAAGAAAGAUUCUGGAUCUUACAAAUAUAUCCUAAUUUGGAGAGAUUUGUUCAAUGGUACUAUCUUAGGUAUAACUGAUGUGAUUAUGGAUGAAAUAUAAAUUUGGUAUGUAUUUAUUAGUAUGGAAAUGAUGGUGACUGUGGUCUGUCAUAUCGACUAUGAGAUCCCAUAUGGGAUGAGCGUGGUCCGUCACAUCUCAGCUACAAAAUCCCACACAGGAUGAUCAUGGUCCGUCGUAUAUCAUGUAAUAGGUCCCAUAUGGGAUGAGCGUGGUCUGCUGUAUCAUGACUGAGAGCACCAAUUGGUCUACUUCAUUUUUGGUCCAUUACGUGGUCAUUUAAAAAAGAAUUUGGGAAAAAUCUUAUAUAGGGAUGGUUUUUUACAUGGUAUGAGUGUUUUUUCAAAAUUCAUACAGAAUGUUUAAGUUGUUCUUAAAGGAUUAAGAUGACAGAUUAAGGAAAGUGUUCAUUUUUAUGGUAAACUAAUGUAUUGGUACCAUAAAAAAAAUAAAAUAGGAUUAUUUCCA
rnacentral:lncRNA from 1 species